UGCCUAAGGGAGCAAGUCGAGCGAAUCAAAGGGAGCUUGCUCCCUGAGGUUAUUGCCCGACGGGUGAGUAACAAAUGGGCAACCUGCCUAUAAGACUGGGAUAACUUCGGGAAACCGGUGCUAAUACCGGAUAAUUCUUUUCCUCCCAUGAGGGAAAGCUGAAAGUCGGCUUCGGCUGACACUUACAGAUGGGCCCGCGGCGCAUUAGCUAGUUGGUGAGGUAACGGCUCACCAAGGCGACGAUGCGUAGCCGACCUGAGAGGGUGAUCGGCCACACUGGGACUGAGACACGGC
rnacentral:misc_RNA from 1 species